GAAACAUCAGGGAUACACCAACCGUCUGUCUGCGCGUGUCUGAAGUUUGCUUCACAUUUUAAGGAGUGUCCAUCAUGGAGUUAAAUGGCAUUAAGGAAGCAGCACUUUUGUCAUGGAUCAACAGUGUCUGUCCUGAGGAGCCCAUUAACAAAAUCACCCAGAUGAUGGACGGUCAUCGACUCCUUACGCUUGCCUACAGAGUGUGAGCUGUGAUGGUUACAAUAGGAAUGCCUUUUUGUUACUUAGUUGGUUACUUU